rnacentral:rRNA from 1 species
GACGAACGCUGGCGGCGUGCUUAACACAUGCAAGUCGAACGGUAAGGCCCUUCGGGGUACACGAGUGGCGAACGGGUGAGUAACACGUGGGUGAUCUGCCCUGCACUUCGGGAUAAGCCUGGGAAACUGGGUCUAAUACCGGAUAGGACCACUGCCUGCAUGGGGGGUGGUGGAAAGCUUUUGCGGUGUGGGAUGGGCCCGCGGCCUAUCAGCUUGUUGGGGGGGUGAUGGCCUACCAAGGCGACGAAGGGUAGCCGGCCUGAGAGGGUGACCGGCCACACUGGGACUGAGAUACGGCCCAGACUCCUACGGGAGGCAGCAGGGGGGAAUAUUGCACAAUGGGCGCAAGCCUGAUGCAGCGACGCCGCGUGAGGGAUGACGGCCUUCGGGUUGUAAACCUCUUUCAGCACCGACGAAGCGCAAGUGACGGUAGGUGCAGAAGAAGGACCGGCCAACUACGUGCCAGCAGCCGCUGUAA